rnacentral:rRNA from 1 species
GACGAACGCUGGCGGCGUGCCUAAUACAUGCAAGUCGAACGCAGUGGGGACGGGUGCGUAACAAGUGGGUAACCUCCCAUCAGAGGGGAUAACACUUGGAAACAGGUGCUAAACCGAUACUGAUGGAUGGACCCGCGGUGCAGUAGCUAGUUGGUGAGGUAACGGCUCACCAAGGCCACGAUGAAUAGCCGUCCUGAGAGGGUGAUCGGCCACACUGGGACUGAGACACGGCCCAGACUCCGACGGGAGGCAGCAGUGGGGAAUAUUCGGCAAUGGACGAAAGUCUGACCGAGCCACGCCGCGUGAGUGAAGAAGGUUUUCGGAUCGUAAAACUCUUUUGGUAGGGAGGCGGUAUCUAACCAGAAAGCCACGGCUAACUACGUGCCAGCAGCCGCGGUAAUUC